ACUCCUACGGGAGGCAGCAGUGGGAAUAUUGCACAAUGGGGAAAGCCAUCGAUGCAGCCAUGCCGCGUGUGUGAAGAAGGCCAAUUCGGGCUUGGUUAAAGACACUUUUCAGUGGGGAGGAAAGGUUGUUGGUUAAUACCUAACAGCUGUGACGUUACCCACAGAAGAAGCACCGGCUAACUCCGUGCCAGCAGCCGCGGUAAUACGGAGGGUGCAAGCGUUAAUCGGAAUUACUGGGCGUAAAGCGUGCGCAGGCGGUCUGUUAAGCGAGAUGUGAAAGCCCCGGCUGC
rnacentral:rRNA from 1 species